CUACUGUAUGUGUGUGUAUAUAUAUAUAUAUAUAUAUAUAUAUAUAUAUAUAUAUAUAUAUAUAUAUAUAUAUAUAUAUAUAUAUAUAUAUAGUGUCACGGGUCUGUUCUGUGUCUCCCUGGGUGGCCACUAGAGGUCUCACUUCCCCUGAUUGUCACCCCCUUCUGAACUACAUUUCCCACUAGCCUUAUCUGUUCAUCACUGUUCAUUGUGUUCAGCUGUCACCACUUACCUUGUUUGCACCUGUCUUUAAAUACCCUGGUUGUUUCUGUCAUUGUUACGGAGUCCUUGUUGCCUGUCACCCUGCUUUUUCCUGGUUCCCUAGUGGAUGUUCGUGUUUCGUGUUUUGGACUGUUUAAUGUCACCCUGGUUUCGUGUUUCCUUGCUUUGUUUGUGUUUCUUGUUUUGGACGGAUUACCUGGAUGUUGACCUUUGCCUGGAUGUUUUCUGAUUUUGGAUUGCCUCAAUAAAACACUGCACUUGGAUCUACCUGUCUGUGUGCGUUUCGUGACAUAUAUAUACCGUGUGUACACAUUUUAUUAUUCUUUUUUUUUUUUUUAAGCAAUCCAAAUUUAUUGAGUUUAAAUAGGAAGCCAUGCAAUGAUCCUUGUUGACCAAUGUGUUUGUAUUUGUGCAGGAUGAUCUCGGAAUUUCAUAAGACUCAAUCUGCAUUAAUAAAUCUGUCUUUUUAGGUGUGUUGUAUUGGCCCUCAGUAUCACUUUAGAGUCCAACAGUUCAGAGUGCGGCAGACUCUAAAGGCUGUUGAUCCGUUUGGAAAUUUUCUUCGCGGACUUCAGCUUAAUGUUGUUCCAAGGGUUCCAUACGCUGUUCCAGGUCCUCUCUCCCUGUGGCACAUAGAUGGUAACCAUAAACUGAUACGCUGGAGAAUUGUUAUAUAGAGGCUGUGUUUGGAUUUUCUGUCGAGAUUUUAAUAAACGUUGAUAUGGUUGGUCAGUACUGCUCGAUCAAGAACUGCCACAGCAGGUCACACGAUCGUUCAGGGAGGAAACUGAACAACGGAAUACGUUUUUUUCAGCUUUCCUUCCUGGAAAAAACAACAAGGGAAGCAGGUGCAGGAGCUGACAAAAAGACGCCGAAUCAAGUGGGUUGCCGCAAUCAGGAGAGAAAAAUUUUACUUUUCAAAACAUUCCUGCAUCAGCGAGAGUGUGUUCGCUGCAUUUUCAGUCUUGUUUUUAUGCUAACACUGUCAAACAAACUUGUAAAUGUAAAUUAUGUAUUUCAAUGAAAAAAAAAUGUAAACGUAAAUUAUUGAUUGUAAAUUAUGUAUUCAUUAAUUUCUAAUCAACAUAACCACAUGAAUUACAAAAAUAAAUCUGCCCACCACAAGCAAAAUAAAACUGGG
ensembl:lncRNA